GACCGCAUGGCCUAAUGGAUAUGGCGUCUGACUUCGAAUCAGAAGAUUGAGGGUUCGAGUGUCCCUCUGUGGUCU
rfam:Ciona savignyi cont_31142, whole genome shotgun sequence.